UACGUAGGGAGCAAGCGUUGUCCGGAAUCAUUGGGCGUAAAGCGCGCGUAGGUGGCUCUAUAAGUCCGUUGUGAAAGUCAAAGGCUCAACCUUUGAAAGCCGAUGGAUACUGUGGAGCUAGAGUACGGAAGAGGCGAGUGGAAUUCCUGGUGUAGCGGUGAAAUGCGCAGAUAUCAGGAAGAACACCUAUGGCGAAGGCAGCACUCUGGGACGGUACUGACGCUGAGACGCGAAAGCGUGGGGAGCGAACAGG
rnacentral:rRNA from 1 species